CCGUAGGUGAACAAUUAGGAAUGCCAGUUCAUAUACACUGUGUAUAUGCUGUAUUUAAAUUGAAUAUAAAUCCUUUAAGAAUUUUAAGAAUCCACCAGAACAGAGAGGGAGAGACAGACAAACAAAAGCUUCUCCGAAAGAACUAAUAGAAAAUUCCUUUAUUCAGAAUCCUCACCAAAACGAACGCGUAGAUGCCAAAUCCUU
rnacentral:misc_RNA from 1 species